GACGAACGCUGGCGGCGUGCUUAACACAUGCAAGUCGAACGGAAAGGCCCUGCUUUUGUGGGGUGCUCGAGUGGCGAACGGGUGAGUAACACGUGAGUAACCUGCCCUUGACUUUGGGAUAACUUCAGGAAACUGGUGCUAAUACCGGAUAUGAGCUCCUGCUGCAUGGGGGGGGUUGGAAAGGUUCGGCGGUUGGGGAUGGACUGGCGGCUUGUCAGCUUGUUGGUGGGGGAGUGGCUUACGAAGGCUUUGACGGGUAGCCGGCCCGGGAGGGUGGCCGGCCACAUUGGGACUGAGAUCCGGCCCAGAGCGCUACGGGAGGCAGCAGUGGGGAAUAUUGAAGACUGGGCGGACGCCUGAUGCAGCAACGCCGCGUGCGGGAUGACGGCCUUCGGGUUGUAAACCGCUUUCGCCGGUGACGAAGCGUGAGUGACGGUAAUGGGUAAAGAAGCACCGGCUAACUACGUG
rnacentral:rRNA from 1 species